AUUGAACGCUGGCGGCAGGCCUAACACAUGCAAGUCGAGCGGAUGAAGGGAGCUUGCUCCUGGAUGCAGCGGCGGACGGGUGAGUAAUGCCUAGGAAUCUGCCUGGUAGUGGGGGACAACGUCCGGAAACGGGCGCUAAUACCGCAUACGUCCUGAGGGAGAAAGUGGGGGAUCUUCGGACCUCACGCCAUCAGAUGAGCCUAGGUCGGAUUAGCUAGUUGGUGGGGUAAAGGCCUACCAAGGCGACGAUCCGUAACUGGUCUGAGAGGAUGAUCAGUCACACGGGAACUGAGACACGGUCCAGACGCCUACGGGAGGCAGCAGUGGGGAAUAUUGGACAAUGGGCGAAAGCCUGAUCCAGCCAUGCCGCGUGUGUGAAGAAGGUCUUCGGAUUGUAAAGCACUUUAAGUUGGGAGGAAGGGCAGUAAGUUAAUACCUUGCUGUUUUGACGUUACCAACUGAAUAAGCACCGGCUAACUUCGUG
rnacentral:rRNA from 1 species